AUGAACGCUAGCUACAGGCUUAACACAUGCAAGUCGAGGGGAAACGACAUCGAAAGCUUGCUUUUGAUGGGCGUCGACCGGCGCACGGGUGAGUAACGCGUAUCCAACCUGCCCACCACUUGGGGAUAACCUUGCGAAAGUAAGACUAAUACCCAAUGAUAUCUCUAGAAGACAUCUGAAAGAGAUUAAAGAUUUAUCGGUGAUGGAUGGGGAUGCGUCUGAUUAGCUUGUUGGCGGGGUAACGGCCCACCAAGGCAACGAUCAGUAGGGGUUCUGAGAGGAAGGUCCCCCACAUUGGAACUGAGACACGGUCCAAACUCCUACGGGAGGCAGCAGUGAGGAAUAUUGGUCAAUGGACGAGAGUCUGAACCAGCCAAGUAGCGUGCAGGAAGACGGCCCUAUGGGUUGUAAACUGCUUUUAUAAGGGAAUAAAGUGAGAGUCGUGACUCUUUUUGCAUGUACCUUAUGAAUAAGGACCGGCUAAUUCCGUGCCAGCAGCCGCGGUAAUACGGAAGGUCCGGGCGUUAUCCGGAUUUAUUGGGUUUAAAGGGAGCGUAGGCCGGAGAUUAAGCGUGUUGUGAAAUGUAGACGCUCAACGUCUGCACUGCAGCGCGAACUGGUUUCCUUGAGUACGCACAAAGUGGGCGGAAUUCGUGGUGUAGCGGUGAAAUGCUUAGAUAUCACGAAGAACUCCGAUUGCGAAGGCAGCUCACUGGAGCGCAACUGACGCUGAAGCUCGAAAGUGCGGGUAUCGAACAGGAUUAGAUACCCUGGUAGUCCGCACGGUAAACGAUGGAUGCCCGCUGUUGGUCUGAAUAGGUCAGCGGCCAAGCGAAAGCAUUAAGCAUCCCACCUGGGGAGUACGCCGGCAACGGUGAAACUCAAAGGAAUUGACGGGGGCCCGCACAAGCGGUGGAGUAUGUGGUUUAAUUCGACGCAACGCGAAGAACCUUACCAGGCCUUGACAUCCCUUGCGAAAUCCUGGAGACAGGAGGGAGGCUAUCAAGGAGACAGGUGGUGCAUGGUUGUCGUCAGCUCGUGCCGUGAGGUGUCGGCUUAAGUGCCAUAACGAGCGCAACCCCUCUCCUUAGUUGCCAUCAGGUGAAGCUGGGCACUCUGGGGACACUGCCACCGUAAGGUGUGAGGAAGGUGGGGAUGACGUCAAAUCAGCACGGCCCUUACGUCCGGGGCUACACACGUGUUACAAUGGCAGGUACAGAGAGACGGUCCCUUGCAAAAUGGAUCAAAUCCUUAAAGCCUGUCUCAGUUCGGACUGGGGUCUGCAACCCGACCCCACGAAGCUGGAUUCGCUAGUAAUCGCGCAUCAGCCAUGGCGCGGUGAAUACGUUCCCGGGCCUUGUACACACCGCCCGUCAAGCCAUGAAAGCCGGGGGCGCCUAAAGUCCGUGACCGUAAGGAGCGGCCUAGGGCGAAACUGGUAAUUGGGGCU
rnacentral:rRNA from 1 species